AUCUGCGAAAAGCGCCGGCGAGGUGAUAUGAACCCUUGACCCGGCGAUGUCCGAAUGGGGAAACCCGGUGCACUACGGUGCAUCAUCGUUUGAUGAAUACAUAGUCAAACGAGGCGAACCGGGGGAACUGAAACAUCUAAGUACCCCGAGGAAAAGAAAUCAACCGAGAUUCCCCCAGUAGCGGCGAGCGAACGGGGAGGAGCCCAGAGCCUGAAUCAGCUUGUGUGUUAGUGGAACGGUCUGGAAAGUCCGACGGUACAGGGUGAUAGUCCCGUACACCAAAAUGCACAGGUUGUGAACUCGAAGAGUAGGGCGGGACACGUGGUAUCCUGUCUGAAUAUGGGGGGACCAUCCUCCAAGGCUAAAUACUCCUGACUGACCGAUAGUGAACCAGUACCGUGAGGGAAAGGCGAAAAGAACCCCGGCGAGGGGAGUGAAAAAGAACCUGAAACCGUGUACGUACAAGCAGUGGGAGCACCUUCGGGUGUGACUGCGUACCUUUUGUAUAAUGGGUCAGCGACUUAUAUUCUGUAGCAAGGUUAACCGUAUAGGGGAGCCGAAGGGAAACCGAGUCUUAACUGGGCGUUAAGUUGCAGGGUAUAGACCCGAAACCCGGUGAUCUAGCCAUGGGCAGGUUGAAGGUUGGGUAACACUAACUGGAGGACCGAACCGACUAAUGUUGAAAAAUUAGCGGAUGACCUGUGGCUGGGGGUGAAAGGCCAAUCAAACCGGGAGAUAGCUGGUUCUCCCCGAAAGCUAUUUAGGUAGCGCCUCGUGAAUUCAUCUCCGGGGGUAGAGCACUGUUUCGGCUAGGGGGCCAUCCCGGCUUACCAACCCGAUGCAAACUGCGAAUACCGGAGAAUGUUAUCACGGGAGACACACGGCGGGUGCUAACGUCCGUCGUGAAGAGGGAAACAACCCAGACCGCCAGCUAAGGUCCCAAAGUCAUGGUUAAGUGGGAAACGAUGUGGGAAGGCCCAGACAGCCAGGAUGUUGGCUUAGAAGCAGCCAUCAUUUAAAGAAAGCGUAAUAGCUCACUGGUCGAGUCGGCCUGCGCGGAAGAUGUAACGGGGCUAAACCAUGCACCGAAGCUGCGGCAGCGACACUAUGUGUUGUUGGGUAGGGGAGCGUUCUGUAAGCCGUUGAAGGUGUGCUGUGAGGCAUGCUGGAGGUAUCAGAAGUGCGAAUGCUGACAUAAGUAACGAUAAAGCGGGUGAAAAGCCCGCUCGCCGGAAGACCAAGGGUUCCUGUCCAACGUUAAUCGGGGCAGGGUGAGUCGACCCCUAAGGCGAGGCCGAAAGGCGUAGUCGAUGGGAAACAGGUUAAUAUUCCUGUACUUGGUGUUACUGCGAAGGGGGGACGGAGAAGGCUAUGUCGGCCGGGCGACGGUUGUCCCGGUUUAAGCGUGUAGGUGUGUGCUCCAGGCAAAUCCGGUGCACUUUAACACUGAGGCGUGAUGACGAGGCACUACGGUGCUGAAGUGACAAAUGCCCUGCUUCCAGGAAAAGCCUCUAAGCAUCAGGUAACAUCAAAUCGUACCCCAAACCGACACAGGUGGUCAGGUAGAGAAUACCAAGGCGCUUGAGAGAACUCGGGUGAAGGAACUAGGCAAAAUGGUGCCGUAACUUCGGGAGAAGGCACGCUGAUAUGUAGGUGAAGUGAUUUACUCAUGGAGCUGAAAUCAGUCGAAGAUACCAGCUGGCUGCAACUGUUUAUUAAAAACACAGCACUGUGCAAACACGAAAGUGGACGUAUACGGUGUGACGCCUGCCCGGUGCCGGAAGGUUAAUUGAUGGGGUUAUCCCUCGGGAGAAGCUCUUGAUCGAAGCCCCGGUAAACGGCGGCCGUAACUAUAACGGUCCUAAGGUAGCGAAAUUCCUUGUCGGG
rnacentral:rRNA from 1 species